UACGUAGGGUGCGAGCGUUAAUCGGAAUUACUGGGCGUAAAGCGUGCGCAGGCGGUUUUGUAAGCCAGAUGUGAAAUCCCCGGGCUUAACCUGGGAACUGCAUUGGUGACUGCAUCGCUCGAGUAUGGCAGAGGGGGGUAGAAUUCCACGUGUAGCAGUGAAAUGCGUAGAUAUGUGGAGGAACACCGAUGGCGAAGGCAGCCCCCUGGGUCAAAACUGACGCUCAUGCACGAAAGCGUGGGGAGCAAACAGG
rnacentral:rRNA from 1 species